rnacentral:rRNA from 1 species
AUUGAACGCUGGCGGCAGGCCUAACACAUGCAAGUCGAGCGGAGCGGCGGACGGGUGAGUAAUGCCUAGGAAUCUGCCUGGUAGUGGGGGAUCACGUCCGGAAACGGGCGCUAAUCCCGCAUACUAUCAGAUGAGCCUAGGUCGGAUUAUCUAGUUGGGGGGUGAAAGGCUUACAAAGGCGACGAUCCGUAACUCGUCUGAGAGGAUGAUCAGUCACACGGGAACUGAGACACGGGCCAGACUCCGACGGGAGGCAGCAGUGGGGAAUAUUGGACAAUGGGCGAAAGCCUGAUCCAGCCAUGCCGCGUGUGUGAAGAAGGUCUUCGGAUUGUAAAGCACUUUAAGUUGGGAGGCGGUAAAAAAAGAAUAAGCACCGGCUAACUUCGUGCCAGCAGCCGCGGUAAUUG